rnacentral:rRNA from 1 species
GAUGAACGCUGGCGGCGUGCUUAACACAUGCAAGUCGAACGGAAAGGCCCCUGCUUGCAGGGGUACUCGAGUGGCGAACGGGUGAGUAACACGUGGGUGAUCUGCCCUGCACUUCGGGAUAAGCCUGGGAAACUGGGUCUAAUACCGGAUAGGACGAUGGUUUGGAUGCCAUUGUGGAAAGUUUUUCGGUGUGGGAUGAGCUCGCGGCCUAUCAGCUUGUUGGUGGGGUAAUGGCAUACCAAGGCGUCGACGGGUUGCCGGCCUGAGAGGGUGCACGGCCACAUUGGGACUGAGAUACGGCCCAGACUCCUACGGGAAGCAGCAGUGGGGAAUAUUGCACAAUGGGGGCAAGCCUGAUGCAGCGACGCCGCGUGGGGGAUGACGGCCUUCGGGUUGUAAACUCCUUUCGCUAGGGACGAAGCGCAAGUGACGGUACCUGGAGAAGAAGCACCGGCUAACUACGUG